rnacentral:rRNA from 1 species
CGCAGCCGCGGUAAUUCCAGCUCCAAUAGCGUAUAUUAAAGUUGUUGCAGUUAAAAAGCUCGUAGUUGAAUUUCGGGAUCAAUAUGUUGGUCGUGCCUUGGUACGUACUGGCAUUAUCGAUUCCUACCUUCUGAAGAACCUCGAUGUCAUUAAUUUGGUGUCUUGGGGAACCAGGACUGUUACUUUGAAAAAAUUAGAGUGUUUAAAGCAGGCUCGCGCUUGAAUACAUUAGCAUGGAAUAAUGAAAUAGGACGUUUGAUUCUAUUUUGUUGGUUUCUAGGAUCGACGUAAUGAUUAAUAGGGAUAGUUGGGGGCAUUAGUAUUCAAUUGUCAGAGGUGAAAUUCUUGGAUUUAUUGAAGACUAACUACUACGAAAGCAUUUGCCAAGGAUGUUUUCAUUAAUCAAGAACGAAAGUUAGGGGAUCGAAGACGAUCAGAUACCGUCGUAGUCUUAACCAUAAACUAUGCCGACUAGGGAUCGGAUGAUGUUAAUUUUUUAAUGACUCA